UACGUAGGGUGCAAGCGUUGUCCGGAAUUAUUGGGCGUAAAGAGCUCGUAGGCGGUCUGUCGCGUCGGCUGUGAAAACCCGCGGCUCAACCUCGGGCCUGCAGUCGAUACGGGCAGACUAGAGUGCGGUAGGGGAGACUGGAAUUCCUGGUGUAGCGGUGAAAUGCGCAGAUAUCAGGAGGAACACCGGUGGCGAAGGCGGGUCUCUGGGCCGUAACUGACGCUGAGGAGCGAAAGCAUGGGGAGCGAACAGG
rnacentral:rRNA from 1 species